GUAGCCGCUGCCCCUUCCUUCCUUGCUGUCAAGCAACGGCAUCCCCAUUUUACUUUGGUUCACAGGGCGUCCUUCAACUCCCAACACAGCCAACCGACAAGAGGCGCUGCAGUUCCAGUAUACGAACUUCACGAAUGAUGCCUACAACAAGAGUGGGAAGGGGUCCUUGAGGCUGCAGCUAAUCAACCAGAGAGCGGACUUCGCCUUUGCGCUCUUCUCUGGAGGCCUCUCAGCUCCGAAGCUGAUUGCUGUCUCAAACAAAGUGACGUUUGAAAAUCCAAAGGCGGACAUCAAAUGCUUUCACCUGCUGAAACUUUCACAUUUGGAAGAAAUUGCAUGUUUGGUUCACCAGCACGAACUGUCGGAUGGCGUGAUCCUGGUUAUAGUAUGUGAUUUCAGUUUCAUUUUCAAUCAGCAUCCCUUGAUGGGUUUCAGUUUCAUUUGGGCAAGAUCAGAGCCAACCGACAAGAUGCAAUAAGAGCUUUUUUUGGAUCUGAGCAUAACUGACAGAUGUACUCCUUCCUUGGUGUAUGUACUGCAUUUCAGCAGAUGUAUGUACUGCAACAAUUUGUACUGCAACAUAUUGUACUCCUUCCUUGGUGUUCAGUUUGUGGUUCUGUAAAGUUUGUACCCUCUUUUGUUCCAUUCUAUCAAAACUAUAAGGAAACUGGAGCUGU